GACAGAGGAUGCAAGCGUUAUCCGGAAUUACUGGGCGUAAAGCGCGUGUAGGUGGUGGGACAAGUCUGCUGUGAAAGCGCCUGGCUUAACCGGGCGAGGUCGGCGGAAACUGUCCGACUAGAGGACGGUAGAGGGGGGUGGAAUUCCCGGUGUAGUGGUGAAAUGCGUAGAGAUCGGGAGGAACACCUGUGGCGAAGGCGGCCCCCUGGGCCGGCCCUGACACUGAGACGCGAAGGCGUGGGGAGCGAACGGG
rnacentral:rRNA from 1 species